GGAAGGAUCAUUAUUGAAAUAAACCUGAUGAGUUGCUGCUGGUUCUCUAGGGAGCAUGUGCACACUUGUCGUCUUUAUAUCUCCACCUGUGCACUUUUUGUAGACCUGGAUAUCUCUCUGAAUGCUAGCCAUUCAGGUUUGAGGAUUGACUUUCCGGUCUGUCCUUACAUUUCCAGGCCUAUGUUUCUUCAUAUACCCCAUGUAUGUUUACAGAAUGUAAUAAAUGGGCCUUUGUGCCUAUAAACUUAUACAACUUUCAGCAACGGAUCUCUUGGCUCUCGCAUCGAUGAAGAACGCAGCGAAAUGCGAUAAGUAAUGUGAAUUGCAGAAUUCAGUGAAUCAUCGAAUCUUUGAACGCACCUUGCGCUCCUUGGUAUUCCGAGGAGCAUGCCUGUUUGAGUGUCAUUAAUAUAUCAACCUCUUCAGCUUUUGCUUGUAGAGUGUUGGAUGUGGGGGUUCUUUUGCUGGCCUUCUCCGAGGGUCAGCUCCCCUGAAAUGCAUUAGCGGAACAAUUUGUUGACCGUUCAUUGGUGUGAUAACUAUCUACGCUAUUGACGUGAAGCAAGUUCAGCUUCUAACAGCCCAUUAAAUUGGACAAAUCUUCAUUAAUGUGACCUCAAAUCAGGUAGGACUACCCGCUGAACUUAAGCAUAUCAAUAAGCGGAGGAAAAGAAACUAACAAGGAUUCCCCUAGUAACUGCGAGUGAAGCGGGAAAAGCUCAAAUUUAAAAUCUGUCAGUCUUUGGCUGUCCGAGUUGUAAUCUAGAGAAGCGUUAUCCGCGCUGGACCGUGUACAAGUCUCCUGGAAUGGAGCGUCAUAGAGGGUGAGAAUCCCGUCUUUGACACGGACUGCCAGGGCUUUGUGAUGCGCUCUCAAAGAGUCGAGUUGUUUGGGAAUGCAGCUCAAAAUGGGUGG
rnacentral:rRNA from 1 species